AUGUAAACAAAAAGGAUUUUUUAAAUAACACAAACAAUCAGGAUUUUUUGAAAAUUUUAUCACAUUUAAACAUAC
rnacentral:tRNA from 1 species